UCUCACACUGUUUGAAUAUAAAUCUGUACUAGUCAGGGAUAUUGCUGCCAUCACAUGGAUAUGAUCUCACUGAGAAUGAAACUAACGUAGAAGAAAGCAAAGAUAAGAGAGGGGAGAGCAAGCGCACAAGAGGCUCUACAUGACUACAAGUUCUGAUUCCCAGAUGUAAAAUGUUUCCACCAUGGAACGAACAAGAGUGCCAAUGAAGUUCAAGCUAUGGAUGUCACCUACUCUCUUCAGGCU
rnacentral:lncRNA from 10 species